ACGUACAACUUUUUUUUGUCCAGAGAGUUUGCAGGGAAACAGAGGCUUAAAGUCAAUAACAGUGGUCGAGCAAGAAAUGCCACUGGCGCCAGUGUUUCGACAAGGUUGCUUGUAUUCGUCAGGGCAGCAGCUUGAUGCCCUGGCGCUGCCCUGGCACUGGCCUGACGCCCUGUGCUGCUCAGACAAGGAUCACGGUGCUUAACAGGACGUGAAAUUGGGUGCUGCCAAAAAUCGGCGGUAGCUGGCCUGACGACGACGAGGACAUGUCGGCUCUGUCAUCGCAGAAACGAGACGGAAUCCGACGCUUCCGGCCACCUUCCACAUGAUCUGCUUGACGUCUGGGUGCCCAAUCUGUACAUGGACGAUGUCGUGGACGUGUCCGCGACGUUCACUACGCCGACAUCGGUCAACCACGUGACACGAAGACGGCAUCCCCGGGCGACAUUCGCCAAACUGGAAGCUGAACCUUCCACAAGAGGUCGGGGGAGGCCCAGCGUUCCACCGCUUGAGCUCAGUCAUGGCCCUUUCUAGCGACACGACAAGGAGUGAUGACACCACGCUCAUGGCUCCAGUAUUUCACCAGUAACCUCAUCUCGCCGCUGGUCGGCAACCACUUGCCGAAGACCACGAAGCAGCGGCGCCCUCCGAGGACCAGACCCACGCCGAAGGCUACAGCAGAGUUCAUGUACCAAGACAUCACGGCCAAGCAACAUCGGGAAAUCUGUGGACUGCACUCAGUGAGGAGACAGAAGGCAGAAGGCAUACAAGACGCCAGUCGCCCCCCUGACACGUAGUGAUAGUCUUGAUCUUAAAGGAACGAAUAAAAAGAAAACACCCACUGAAGUUGUGCUGGUGUAGAGGGCCAUUCAAGCACUGUGAUUUCAUUUAAAAGUACGAAUAAAGAGAAACACGGAGCGAAAUUGUACUUGUA